rnacentral:rRNA from 1 species
CCAGAACCUAGCCCCGACCCCAAUCCCCAUCCAGAACCUUGCCCCAUUCCUAAUUCCGACCCCCUUGAGCAAACCCUAGCCUCGUUCCGUCGCUCGAUUCGUCGCCCGGAGGCUGAGGAUGCGGUGCCGCCGCUCUCCGAUCCGGCCGCACCGACUUCUCCUCCUCCUCUUUCUCCCACAUCGUCGCCGCACGGGGCACCGGCUGCCGCCUCCGGCGAUUUCUCCUCCGGCCUUGCCCGGGAUGGCGCCGCCGUUCCAAACGGUCAUGCCGACAUCGACAUCCGGGCGGCCGCGGAUGACAAGGCUCGGAAGCGCAGGGUCCGGAGCGAGCUGCGUCGGCAGCUUGCGUCAGAACUCGACCAGGUACGCGUGCUCUCCAAGCGCCUCAAGGCGGCUGGCGAGGCCUUGGCAGUUGAGGCAUCCCAGUCCGUACCUCGGCCACCGCCUCUGCUCACUGCUGGGUAUGUGCAACCCCAAUUCUCAGGCAGUGAUGCUGUGACGCCCGUACAGGCCCCAGUUGCUGCUUCUGUUCCUCCUGUCCGCUCGUUCCUACCACGCCGCCCGCUAAUUGUGCCAGAAGUUCACACAGAAUCACUUGACAAGGAAAAGCGAACACCAAAGGCCAAUCAGCUUUACCAAAAUUCAGAGUUCUUGCUUGCCAAAGAUAGGAUACCGCCAUCAGAUUCACAUGGCCGGAAGAAAACCAAGCACCACAAGAAGAAACACCGUUCCUCGUCAGCUCAUGGUGCAGGUUACAACGCUGAGCAGCGACUCUACUCGCAUGCAUUUAAGAAGUCUUCAUCCCUGCUGUCCCGACUAAUGAAGCACAAAUUUGGGUGGGUGUUUAACAAGCCUGUUGAUCCUGUUGCACUUGGGUUGCAUGACUAUUUUGCCAUUAUUAAGCACCCGAUGGAUCUUGGCACUAUAAAGGGGCAGCUUACUCGUGGGCAUUACAGGGACCCAAAGGAGUUUGCUAAUGAUGUACGGCUAACAUUCCAUAAUGCCAUGACGUAUAAUCCCAAAGGGCAGGAUGUGCAUUUCAUGGCUGAGCAAUUGUUAGGAAUUUUUGAAGCUCAGUGGCCUGAGAUUGAGGCUGAGGUUGACUACCUUGCGUCAUGCCCACCUUUGCCGAAGAAGUUUCCACCUCCCCCGAUAGACUUGCGCUUACUAGAGAGGUCAGAUUCCUUAAAGCACCAUAUGGUGCUGGACUCCAAGUCAAGGCCGAUAAGUCAUACUCCUAUUAGUGUCCGCACUCCAUCAUUGAAGAAGCCGAAGGCAAAGGAUCUGGAUAAAAGAGAUAUGACGAUAGAUGAGAAGCGUAAACUUAGCAAUAACCUUCAGAACUUGCCUCCUGAAAAGCUUGAUAUUGUUGUGCAGAUCAUUAAGAACAAGAAUCUUUCAGUUAGGCAGCAUGAAGAUGAGAUUGAGGUUGAGAUAGAUAGCAUGGAUGCGGAGACACUUUGGGAACUUGAUAGAUUUGUUGCUAACUUCAAGAAGAACCUGAGCAAGCAAAAGAGGAAGGCUGAGCGUGCAAUGCUUGCAAGGCAAGAUGUAGAGUUGCGUGCUCUGCAUGCUGCACAACAAACAAGUCAACAACCUAAUAUUGGUGAAAAAUCUCCAAAGCUAAAUUUGAUGGUGGGCGAGCAAUUAGCACCUUCUGUGCCAGACCAAAAUAAUAAUAAUGGACCGAGUGCCAGUAGAUCUAGCAGCUCAAGCAGCACCAGCAGUGAUUCAGAUUCCUCUUCUAGUGACUCGGACAGUGACAGCUCUUCUACAGAUGGAUCAAAUGCUGCCAAUUCAUCUUGAGACAUAGGUUCAGGACUCCGUCUAAUAGACAAUAACUGUCUAAUUGUAUUUGGCAUGAGAAUGCCUUAGUGAUUGUACAUGUUUGUCUCUGUCUCUUAGGUAUCUCUUAAGUAGCUGCUGGGAUGUUAGAUGAAGGCAGUAUUCUACAAAGGUUUGUUUGUUCCCCAGCUGAAGGAAAGAUAACCUGGCUCUGGAAUUAUGUAGCCUGUACAUUAGACGCACAUUGAGCAUUAUGUCUAGGAAGGUGAUUGUUGUGUCUGCAUUAACAAGCCAUAUUGUCCCGUUUAUUCAACGGUUUUGGCAGUGUUUCAAUAUACCAGGUGAUGUUCUUACUGUUACGGUUUAGCAUCAGCUGUUCUUGGAUUGUAAAUUUUCAAGUAAUUCUUGACUGGGACGUUUUAAAUGUUUUUGACACCCUUGGUCUUGUCAUCAUUGACGCUGAUGCAAGUCCAUGUUUCAUGGUGGUGUAUGCUUAGUUGCAAAGGGUUGUGAUCUGCAAGUGCAAGGAAUGUUUCAGCCUUGCUUCUCAUCAUUCUCUGCUCAUCAUGGUUCGGUUUAUCCAGUAAGACUUGCAAAGCUGCUGAGUCACUUCAUGUUUUGUUUAUUUUUAUGCUGCGGUGACCCGUUCAGGAGCUUUCUUGGGGAUUCUGCUGCCGUGAGCUUUGCUGAUUUGUUGAGGCUUUGCAAACCUGAUCGUUUCAAAACCCAAUUGGGGACAUUAAACUUCCCUGCGCACUGGCAUAGGGAAAUCAGCUCUGCGGUUUGA